UCAGGAAAAAUAACUAAUGGGCACUAGGCUUAAUACCCGGGAGAUGAAAUAAUCUGUGCAGUGGACCCUCACGACACAGGUUUACCCAUGUAACAGACCUGCACUUGUACCUCUGAAUUUAAAAAUUCCAAAAAAGAGGCUUAACUUUCCCUGUGAGCAUUUACUUUAGAAAACUUGUAAUUUUAAGUUCUUUCUCUACCUGUUUGAAAUUAUGUAAAUCUUUUUAAAAGGUAAAUAAGCCUCUUGCCAGCUUUCUUCCCUUCAGGAAUGUCUUUCUCAAGUACCCGGGAGCCAUCUCUUUGAAAUGCAAUCAUUAAGGAAGACAGUGCCCCUACUUCCCGUCUCUUCCGGAGAGUAGGAGCCUAACGUGGGCAGGCACCUCUCUCCAAAACUCACCUCUUGUCACAAAAAUAUGAAGAAAUUUAUUUUUCCUUUGGAUAAAUCCAAUUAGCAAACAUAGACGGUCACCCCUGCUAGCAGGUGAAUCUAGGAUGUGUAACAAAUAGUGCAGUCAAGUCGUCUUACUUGAGGACUAGUCAAGUUGAGGACUAGUCAUGUUUAUCUUGAGAACGUGUAUGGAAAAAGGAUUGUAUGGGCUUGUCUGUAUAGAAGGGUGAAUUUUGUUUUCUGACUUUGCAAUCUAUGUGCAAAUUGCCUAUGACAAACAUCCCGUUCUAGUUAAUGCUUACUGAAUAAUAAAAUUUUCUUCUUCUAAAAAAAGAAAAAAAGAAAAAAGAAAGGAAGAAAGAAAACAGAAGUUCCUAUGAAAACAACAGGGCAAAAUCUAAUCUCUUCCUCUGAUGUUUGCCUUAACAUUACAACCAGUAAUUCUCCCACUGUCACCUCGGCAGAGGCAUCCGAUCAUUGAAUAUCUUUAGUUGCAGUCCAGGGAAGAGGAUGGAGGCAGAAAGCUGUCUGAAUCAGUGCUACUCAGUGUGGGCUGAAGUCCAGGGCUGGUCCAUGAUCUGUUUGUUGCCAGCUUGUGGCAAGAUCUGAGAUGAAGAUUGUAAGAGAUACUGUGCUGUGGGCCCAGCACAAUACCAGGCUCGUGGUAAGGAUUGUAAGUUGCCUUAAAGGUCAUCUGGUUGAACCCACAACCUACUGCUCCAGUGAGAAUCUCAGUCUCCACCAAGGAACCAACCACAGCUACCCCAGCACAGCCAGCAUAUCCUGACUGGGACCCCCAGCUCAGGUAAGGCAAAUAGUACUGGCCAGGUCAUCUCUACCCUCGUCUCCAUUAUACCUGAAGAACUUAGCAUCCUAACUCAAGAGAAAACAUGACAUCCUUCUCUCUCAUGAUAACAAAUCCUGAUUUUGUUCAGGUAUCGGGCAUCCAUGUGCUUCAGGGGAAGUGCGCCCCUUCCAUGGUAAUUCGCCUGUCCAGUGACUGAUUUAGGAAUGGGUUUGUGAUAUAACCUGGAUAACAAAACAUGGAGAGAGGUCUGAGUCUCUCCAGGACCGAAGGAGUAUCAGGAAAUAUUUUCUUACUCUUAAAAGCAAGGAAACUAGGCUUUUUUUCUGCCUCUAAAUGUCCACAUUUGAAGCCUGGAAUUGCCAAAGUCUUCUGGGAACCAUGAGGGGACUCAGCCAAAGAGGAUAAAUCAACAUGUGGAAAGCAACAAACGAAAUAACAGAAAGAAGUAGGACAUUGAUGUUUUUGUUAAACCCAUGAAUUAACCAAUCCAAGAUCAGAACUACCUCAGCAUUUUCAAUAUGUAAGAUAAUAAUUUUUCCUUUAAGUCAUUGGUAAUUGGGUUUUCAGUUGCUUGCAGCCAAAAGAUGUACAAAAUAGACACAUGAAGUCUGAGGCUAUAAACUGUUGGGCACCUUUGAUCCAAGGCUUCCCUUACUCCCUUCCUUCUUCUGAGCAGCUAAGUCAUCUCCGACUCACACAGUGUACCCCGAAUAUUUAAAGGAGUUCAGGAUAGACGAGGAGUUCAUUCCCUUUCACCACAGGACAUGACUCCUGCAUUUUAGCAAAUUCUCAGGCCAGCCCCAUCCCAUCUUCCUCAUUGGUUUCAGCUAGGGAAACCAGAGCGCUGCAAAGCCCACUGCAGACUCCGAGGCUGUAAAUGAAAGGUGUGAGGCACGCCGGCUGUGUACUGGCCACGUCUGCUUCUCUUGCAGGCUCCACCAUCAGCCUCUUCCUCCUGAAGUGGACCCUCCUCUCCAGCUCUUGCCCAUCCACUGUGACCGUUUUCAAGCCCCUUCUCUUCUGUGACGCCUUCCAGCAUAACGCCAGACCACACUCUGUACUGAACUUUUAGACACUCGAUACUCUGCAAGUUUCUGCCUUCAGAUUGUGAACUUGACACUGUGCCUCCAACCUGGCUGUGCACCUUUGAGCACAGGGAUGAGUGCAGACCUCUGCAUGUUUCCAGUGAUGACCAACACACAGAGGCAUUACAUAAAUGCUUGAGUUUAAGUAGAAAGUAAACUUUCCCCACAGCCAUACAAUCACGAUAAAAUUUUGAGUUAGAGCCUCAAAAGCUCUCUUGUCCAGCUGCUGCCCUCAAUGAUCCUACAGAUGGAGUUCGAUCCUACAGACUUCAAUCUUUGCAGUGAAGCAGAACUCAUUACUUUGGGUGCCAUCUGUUUCAUUUCUGGACAACUCUCAGGGUUGGAAGUUUAUUUCAAUUUUAUUAUCAGGCCCCAAUUUGCUUCCCUAUAACCUGUCUUCAGCUCUUUUAUUUAUCUUUCUGGGAUAAAAAAAGAAUAAAUGUAUUCUAUUUUCACACACUAGCCCUACAAAUAUUGAAAGCAGCUAUUAUAUCUGUUCUAAAUCUUCAUUUGUCCAAACUAAAUAUCUUCAAUUACUUAAAUUAUUCUGUAAGAGGGGAGGGUUCCAGAAAUUUGUUUCAUAUUUCUUGUGCACAUUCCAAUUAGCCAUUUCUCUGUUAAGAUCUCAUUUAUUGAUUCAACAAAUAUUGAUUGAGUUCUUACUUUAUACAAGACUUACAUCGGAGAAUCUGACUUGGAGCUUGCAGUCCAGGAGGGAAGAUAAUUAAACAGUGACAGUGAGGAACAAAGUGUGCUGGCUCGUGCAUUGCACCAUUUCAGGGGCACCAUUCACACAUAAUACAAUGCAAAUUUCACCCCUUGGAGUUGUGCAACUUGGUGACCAGGCACUGAUGGGAGCAAGCAAAUUGUGGAUCAGGAAAGGCCUCCCUAGAAGAAAGGACAUUUAAGCUGAGACCUGAACUAUGACUGUCAGUUAAUUAUGUAAAGCAAGGGAGGAACAGUGUGCUGGGCUGAAAGAACAGCAUGUGAAAAAUGUGGGGGAGAAAGCAAGGGGCAGGGGAAGUGACAGAAAGAAGAGGGAAUAAAGAGAAAUGAGGCUCGAGAAGUAAGUUGGGGUCAGAGCUUGCAGUGUCUAGCAGGCCAUGUUAGGGAGGUUGACUCAUAUCCUAAAGAGGGUGGGAGUCUACUGGAGAGAUUGAAGCAGGAAAAUAAUAUGAUUGUAUUUGCAUUCAGGCUGCUGUAUGGAAAGUGGAUUUGAAGAGAAUAAAACCAGAAUCUGGGAGACCAUUUCAAAACCUGUUACAGUAAUCCAAGCCAAAAAAAAAAAAAAAAAAAAAAAAUCAGAGGGUGGCCAGAAA
rnacentral:lncRNA from 1 species